rnacentral:misc_RNA from 1 species
GGAUGAAGAACGUAGCGAAAUGCGAUAAGUAAUGUGAAUUGCAGAAUUCCGUGAAUCAUCGAGUCUUUGAACGCACAUUGCGCCCCCUGGUAUUCCGGGGGGCAUGCCUGUCCGAGCGUCAUUGCUGCCCUCAAGCACGGCUUGUGUGUUGGGCCUCCGUCCUCCUCCCGGGGGACGGGCCCGAAAGGCAGCGGCGGCACCGCGUCCGGUCCUCGAGCGUAUGGGGCUUCGUCACCCGCUCUUGUAGGCCCGGCCGGCGCUUGCCGACACAUCAAUCUUUUUUCCAGGUUGACCUCGGAUCAGGUAGGGAUACCCGCUGAACUUAAGCAUAUCAAUAAGCGGAGGA